GUCAGUGCAGUGAUGACUUGACUUUUUUCCCCAUCAGAUCGACCCUGUUGAUCCAACAGCUUUAAGCCAGUUUUAGUCUGAUGCAUUGAC